rnacentral:misc_RNA from 1 species
UGGACGAAUGGUCGCGCGAGUGAAAGCGCGGUGUUGGCGCCGGUGGCGAGCCAGACGCGGCGGCCACCGCGCCGGAAUCCAUGGGCGGACGCCCUCCGCGUGCCCGAGCGUGAUGUGACCCUACUGUCGCUCGAGCGCGGAGAGGCCCCCGGCCCUCGGCCCGUCUGUCGGGCGGGGCGUAGCAACUUAUUG